rnacentral:tRNA from 1 species
AUUUAUUGUAGGAUUAGUUCUUAUUUGGGUUGAGCUUUAAUUGACUGUUUGCACAGCUGAAAGAACA